rnacentral:rRNA from 1 species
GACGAACGCUGGCGGCGUGCCUAAUACAUGCAAGUCGAACGCAGUGGGGACGGGUGAGUAACACGUGGGUAACCUCCCAUCAGAGGGGAUAACACUUGGAAACUGGUGCUAAAACCGAUACUGAUGGAUGGACCAGCUGUUCAUUAGCUAGUUGGUGAGGUAAAGGCGUACCAAGGCCACGAUGCAUAGCCGACCUGAGAGGGGGAUCAGCAACACGGGGACUGAGACACGGCCCAGACUCCUACGGGAGGCAGCAGUAGGGAAUCUUGGGGAAUGGGCGAAAGUCUGACCGAGCAACGCCGCGUGAGUGAAGAAGGUUUUCGGAUCGUAAAGCUCUGUUGGUAGAGAAGCGUUAUCUAACCAGAAAGCCACGGCUAACUACGUGCCAGCAGCCGCGGUAAUUC